rnacentral:rRNA from 1 species
GAUGAACGCUAGCUACAGGCUUAACACAUGCAAGUCGAGGGGCAGCAUUUUAGUUUGCUUGCAAACUAAAGAUGGCGACCGGCGCACGGGUGAGUAACACGUAUCCAACCUGCCGAUAACUCGGGGAUAGCCUUUCAAAAGAAAGAUUAAUAUCCGAUGGUAUAUUUUCUCCGCAUGGAGAGAAUAUUAAAGAAUUUCGGUUAUCGAUGGGGAUGCGUUCCAUUAGUUUGUUGGCGGGGUAACGGCCCACCAAGACCACGAUGGAUAGGGGUUCUGAGAGGAAGGUCCCCCACAUUGGAACUGAGACACGGUCCAAACUCCUACGGGAGGCAGCAGUGAGGAAUAUUGGUCAAUGGACGAGAGUCUGAACCAGCCAAGUAGCGUGAAGGAUGACUGCCCUAUGGGUUGUAAACUUCUUUUAUAUGGGAAUAAAGUGUUCCACGUGUGGGAUUUUGUAUGUACCAUAUGAAUAAGGAUCGGCUAACUCCGUGCCAGCAGCCGCGGUAAUACGGAGGAUCCGAGCGUUAUCCGGAUUUAUUGGGUUUAAAGGGAGCGUAGGUGGAUUGUUAAGUCAGUUGUGAAAGUUUGCGGCUCAACCGUAAAAUUGCAGUUGAAACUGGCAGUCUUGAGUACAGUAGAGGUGGGCGAAAUUCGUGGUGUAGCGGUGAAAUGCUUAGAUAUCACGAAGAACUCCGAUCGCGAAGGCAGCUCACUAGACUGCAACUGACACUGAUGCUCGAAAGUGUGGGUAUCAAACAGGAUUAGAUACCCUGGUAGUCCACACAGUAAACGAGGAAUACUCGCUGUUUGCGAUAUACAGUAAGCGGCCAAGCGAAAGCAUUAAGUAUUCCACCUGGGGAGUACGCCGGCAACGGUGAAACUCAAAGGAAUUGACGGGGGCCCGCACAAGCGGAGGAACAAUGUGGUUUAAUUCGAUGAUACGCGAGGAACCUUACCCGGGCUUAAAUUGCAUUUGAAUAAUCUGGAAACAGGUUAACCGCAAGGCAAAUGUGAAGGUGCUGCAUGGUUGUCGUCAGCUCGUGCCGUGAGGUGUCGGCUUAAGUGCCAUAACGAGCGCAACCCUUAUCUUUAGUUACUAACAGGUCAUGCUGAGGACUCUAGAGAGACUGCCGUCGUAAGAUGUGAGGAAGGUGGGGAUGACGUCAAAUCAGCACGGCCCUUACGUCCGGGGCUACACACGUGUUACAAUGGGGGGUACAGAAGGCAGCUACCUGGCGACAGGAUGCUAAUCCCAAAAACCUCUCUCAGUUCGGAUCGAAGUCUGCAACCCGACUUCGUGAAGCUGGAUUCGCUAGUAAUCGCGCAUCAGCCAUGGCGCGGUGAAUACGUUCCCGGGCCU